rnacentral:piRNA from 1 species
UCCCACUUUCCAUGGUCUCCCUCUGAUGCCC